CACCAGUGAAAGAGGGGAAGUUGCUACUGUGAUGAAUUCUGCCAUGUGGUACCAGACUGCUGCCCAGACCACAGUGUCCUCUGCAACCCUGGUAACUCACAUACAGGCCUGAUUCCACCUACAGCAAAGCUGGAUGCUAUGGUUGGCAGAGGCAAGCCCCUUGCCUGCACUUCAGGCCAAAGCCGGGAUGUGGCCUAGAUGGUUCCUAAGCUUCUCAGAUGACCAAGAUGGUGCUGCCGAUGGUGUUGAGGACGGAGAACCCACCAAGCCCCGUUAGGAGCCACCUAGACUGGAUGCAGAGCACAGACAAUUUGCUGAGGUCUGGGAGCACCCCCUCCAGAGAGUCCCUGAUCUCUCACAACUUGGUCGUGAUCUAAAGUUUAUUUGAUGUACAACUCCCCCUCCCCUUCUUUUGGAGUUUUAUUUGCUUCCAAGAAGGAAGGCAAGAUUUCCUGGGUCCGUGAUGAUGGAAGGCUGACAACUCUUUUAUGGAUUUUGAGCUUGCUCCCAG
rnacentral:lncRNA from 1 species